CUGCCCAGUGAUUAUAAAAAGACGCGUUAUUGUGAGGACUACAGCCAGAAUCCAUCCUUUCUCUCUCUUCUUCCUUACCCGUUAAUUCUCCUUAUCCUUUCUUUUCCUUUCCUUCCCUCUUGUUGGGUUCUUGGUGUCCUGUGAGCACAAGUGUGAUAUGAGGGCAG